GUUUCAUUAUCCUUAUACAGUACAUGUGUCAGUCUUAGUUUCAUUAUCCUUAUACAGUACAUGUGUAGAACAAAUUAUCAGAUAUAUGGGGUAUUGUGUAGGUAUUGUAAUGCAGUAGGCUACAGUUAUAACGUCCUGGUGUAGUCUGAUGUAGCUAUUUCUGCCCCAUGCAACACUGUUCAAGAACACCUUUUCUGUGUGACUUGUCAACUGAUACAGUAUCGCCUGUCUCUCUGCUUGAAAUUCAUCAGUUUACAGUGUAUCAAUGACAUUUGGAGAACGAGUAGAAUAUAUUGUAAUAUACAACUCAGGUAUAAAUAUAUUGUAAUAUACAACCCAGGUAUAAAUAUAUUGUUAUAUACAACUCAGGUAUAAAUAUAUUGUAAUAUACAACUCAGGUAUAAAUAUAUUGUUAUAUACAACUCAGGUAUAAAUAUAUUGUAAUAUACAACCCAGGUAUAAAUAUAUUGUUAUAUACAACUCAGGUAUAAAUAUAUUGUAAUAUACAACUCAGGUAUAAAUAUAUUGUUAUAUACAACUCAGCUAUAAAUAUAUUGUUAUAUACAACCCAGGUAUAAACAUAUUGUUAUACAAAUCAUGUAUAAAUAUAUUGUUAUAUACAACCCAUGUAUAAAUAUAUUGUUAUAUACAACCCAUGUAUACAUAUAUUGUUAUAUACAACCCAGGUAUAAACAUAUUGUUAUACAACUUAGGUAUAAAUAUAUUGUAAUAUACAACCCAGGUAUAAAUAUAUUGUUAUAUACAACCCAGGUAUAAACAUAUUGUUAUACAACUUAGGUAUAAAUAUAUUGUAAUAUACAACCCAGGUAUAAAUAUAUUGUUAUAUACAACCCAUGUAUAAAUAUAUUGUUAUAUACAACUCAGGUAUAAAUAUAUUGUAAUAUACAACUCAGGUAUAAAUAUAUUGUUAUAUACAACCCAGGUAUUUCAGCAGUGCAUUGUACAGUAUAAUUCUGAAUGGAAGCACUUCCAGUGACUCUCCACGUUGUCCUGUUGAAGCACACUGGCUGAUGGAGAAUGAUGAUGUGAUACAGUGUUCAUCAGUUAUGAAACUAUGUAGGUAAGCUAAGCACUACUCCAUUUUGGUUCAGCAGUUAUGAAACUAUAUAGGUAAGCUAAGCACUACUCCAUUUUGGUUCAGCAGUUAUGAAACUAUGUAGGUAAGCUAAGCACUACUCCAUUUUGGUUCAGCAGUUAUGAAACUAUGUAGGUAAGCUAAGCACUACUCCAUUUUGGUUCAGCAGUUAUGAAACUAUAUAGGUAAGCUAAGCACUACUCCAUUUUGGUUCAGUAGUUAUCCGUUUUGAGCCGUUUGAUUAAGUGAUAGACAAAUGUAUUGUUAACAAAUGACAAGAAAAUCAUAUCAAAAGUAAAGUGAAUAUUGCAUUUUGAAAGGCAGAUACUUGAAUAUGUGUGCAAAUUGAAAGAGUGAUUUGGUGCAGUGAACAAGUGACUUUGUGAAUUUGUUUGUAGUACUCAGUCAAUUGAAAAUGUGCUUAGAAUUUUGACCACGUGACAUUUUGAUUAUCUGUUUGGAGUCUUGUACUUAGAGUUGUGAAAAUGUACCACAUACUUGUGAAAAUUGCACCAAAGUGAAAAAAAUUAAGACUGUAAAUUGUCUUUUCAAAUGUUUUAUGACUUUUAAUGGAAUAAUUGUUAUGAAUACUGAAACAAUACAAAAUGUAAUGCUACAUCUCGUGUGUGUGUUAAUAAAGUUGCGACAUUUGAAGCA